UUAUCACUGUUUAAGAAAUUUGAAUAAGAGUUUCUUCAAGUUCUUGUAAAUCAUGGUUAGUUCUGUGAUGUACUGUAAGUGGUACUGUAUAACAUAUCACUUGACAACAAACAAUGUGUUUUGUAGUUAUUGCAGAACUCAUGUUGGUAAUAUAGCUACCUUACUGUGAUUUUUAUUGAGGAGGAUUUGAUAGAGAUGGUACGUGUUGCAU
rnacentral:lncRNA from 1 species